UAGCGGAAUAACCAGGAUUAUAAUCUUACAAAAGGAAUAUGUUUGAAUAAAAAUAUUUUAUUCACGUUAAGAAUAUUGUCUUAUUUUUUUUUUAUUUUAUAUAAUAAGGAAAACAAUAAAAUUACUUAUUUCUAUAAAGUAAAAUUCAAAUACUUCUGCAGCAGAUAAUCCGGGGGUAAAUUUGUAUGAGUGGUGACAUCUGUGAAGGUUAGACGUAAUCUAUCGAUUUCACUGAAAGGGUCUCCUAAAUACAACUAAACAGGGUUGUUCCUUGUUAACCGUGGCAGAUGGUGCUUGGUAUUUAAAACUGUCAAAUUGCGUAUUGUGCACAUUACGCGCGUUGUCGUUCAGAUUUAUCUGGUUACUUGUUAUGAUUUACUUGGUAGUCUGUGGACUGGGAUUUACCAUGUUAUGGAUAUACUUAUUUUCUGAUAAGGCAGACAGCUCAGAACAACAAACACAGACGCAAGCAGAUACUGAAGUAACUGAAACUACACCCUAGUAUGAAAUGAAAAAUGGAGAAGACAAUCAAUUGAAGAUCCAAGUAAUUGUACAGCUAAAAUGAAGAUACAGAAGAUUAAUAUUUUAGAAAUAAUGCCAUUAUUGAAAAUAAAACCUAUUCCUAAGUGAAAAUAAGUGCAUGUCUUUAUUGGACUUGUCAUAAACAACAUGUAACUAUAAGAACUGGAUCAUGCAAUAUAUUAGGUCGUUCAAUGUCUUCUCUGAUUAAAACAAAUCUACAAAUGGGCAAAUCAACGUUCUUGCCGACACAUGUUAAAGAAGAAAGACUUAAGAAACUAAGGAACUACUUUUUUUAUAAAUCCGCAAAUAUUUGUUACAUACAUACUCACAUAUUCCACGAAAUUACCAAGUAAAUUGCAUAGAUAUACAAAAAAUGUGUACAGUUUAAAACAAAAAUUCAUGAGAUGUAAGUUGCCGAUAUUCAUCUUCUUUUAAUAAGAUUAUUUCAUAAUUUUUUAAUAUUUCUGUUGUAUUAUUUUUAACAUUUAAAAUUGUGUAGUA